UACGGAGGGGGCUAGCGUUAUUCGGAAUUACUGGGCGUAAAGCGCACGUAGGCGGCUUUGUAAGUCAGAGGUGAAAGCCUGGAGCUCAACUCCAGAACUGCCUUUGAGACUGCAUCGCUUGAAUCCAGGAGAGGUGAGUGGAAUUCCGAGUGUAGAGGUGAAAUUCGUAGAUAUUCGGAAGAACGCCAGUGGCGAAGGCGGCUCACUGGACUGGUAUUGACGCUGAGGUGCGAAAGCGUGGGGAGCAAACAGG
rnacentral:rRNA from 1 species